rnacentral:rRNA from 1 species
GACGAACGCUGGCGGCGUGCCUAAUACAUGCAAGUAGAACGCACAGUUUAUACCGUAGCUUGCUACACCAUAGACUGUGAGUUGCGAACGGGUGAGUAACGCGUAGGUAACCUGCCUGGUAGCGGGGGAUAACUAUUGGAAACGAUAGCUAAUACCGCAUAAUAUUGAUUAUUGCAUGAUAAUUGAUUGAAAGAUGCUAUUGCAUCACUACCAGAUGGACCUGCGUUGUAUUAGCUAGUAGGUGAGGUAACGGCUCACCUAGGCGACGAUACAUAGCCGACCUGAGAGGGGGAUCGGCCACACUGGGACUGAGACACGGCCCAGACUCCUACGGGAGGCAGCAGUAGGGAAUCUUCGGCAAUGGACGAAAGUCUGACCGAGCAACGCCGCGUGAGUGAAGAAGGGUUUCGGAUCGUAAAGCUCUGUUGUAAGAGAAGAACGGGUGUGAGAGUGGAAAGUUCACACUGUGACGGUAUCUUACCAGAAAGGGACGGCUAACUACGUG